CUGUUGUUUUUCCUGCGUCUUCAACGUGCCGGUCGUCUGUGUGAGCUGCUUGAUCGUGUGGUUUUGUGUUUGCUUUAAUGAAAUGGGACGUAGUUAGCGUGCACAAAAGUGCCAGAAGAUACCUUGUGUUUCGUUGCAAACUCGCCGUAUGCGUGGCGCGCCAGGCAAACAUGGACCAACGAGUUUUGUGCCGUGGCCUUUGUGUCGGGUUGUCGUGGAAAGUUGGGUGGACAUAGCAAAGAAAUCAUUUCUAUUGGUAGCGUGCCUCAGAUCGUCCACUACGCAGCGGCAUGUAUGCUGGGAGUAACAUCGUCGACGCAGCACCGGCAACUUGGAGAGCGUCGUGCCAUUGAAAAGUGGUGAGGCCGUGACCCACAGCAGUGUCCACAUGAUGGUAGGGAACCUGUGGCCCUGGCUACAGCAGCACAGCGUGUAAUCUGGAUGUCACGUCAGGUGAACGAUCUUAUCUGGCCUGAAGUCCUAUGGCGGCAAUGCACGACCGCAUUGGGGAGGCUGAGGUUCAGGGCAAGAGCCUUUAUGGAAAGGGCAGUAACAGGCACAAGAAGGACCCAGUGAAGGAGGGAUUGGAUCCAGUUCAUCUGAAUGCUGUAAUUGGUUACAUCCUCCAGCAAGUUCAGGACGACAAAUGUGCAGCUCAAAAGCAGCCUGUCCUCCAUGCUAAGCAGGGAGAUUAAGUAGCCUGGAAAGCAGGUGGUCCUGUAAAUACAGGGUGUUUUUUUUAGCUGCACCAAAUUUUUAAAAUUAGAAAAAUAUAUACCUUGGUCACGUUAGCUUUACCAUUCGAGUGUACGGAUUGGCGGCCUCUAGAUACAGAGCAAUUUAGUCACUUAAGUGUGUAAUUAGUGAAGUUAAGCUAAUUAACUUUCUAAUUAUCAACUAUAGGUGGCUACAGCAAAUGAGUACUUUGGGGCCCGUCGUCGACACUACCUAUCCCAACGAUGAAAUUUUGAAUAGCGGAGUUCAUGUGGGAGCUACACGAGCAAUUAGUUCCCUUUGGCAAGCUUCUUGAAACCGAAUUAGGCCGCAAAAAGAGCGUCUGUGUCGUCGAUGUCACCGCCCCCCUGCCUUUCGUAACAUCUCCGAGGUAAGCGCCAGUCCGGCCCCGCGAGCAGCUUGCAUUAUUUCCUUGCUAUCUGCGGCGUUCGCAGUCGACGCUACAGACUGAUAUGAUGCCGUGCCUGCAGUAUCUAAAAGCCCAAUUUAAGGAGCAGGGUUGGCGCUACAGCGCAACAUGAUGCCCAACAGAAUGACGAAGUAAAUUUGGCGGCCCACCGUCAUUGAAGCGCUAGGCCACCGCUGCAGACAGCCAGGAAAUAAUGCAAGCUGCUCGUUGGGCUGGACCGGCGGAGACGUGACGAAAGGCGGGGGGGGGGGGGGGGGGCGACGACACAGACGCUCUUUUUGCGGCCAGUUUCGGUUUCAAGGAGCCUGCCAAGGGGAACUAAUUGUUCGCGUAGCUCCCACAUGAACUCCGCUAUUCAAAAUUUGACUGUUGGGAUAGGUAGUACUCAUUUGUACUCAGUACUCAUUUGCUGUAGCUACCUAUUGUUGAUAAUUAGAAAAUUAAUUAGUGUAACUUCGGUAAUUAUGCAUGUAAGUGCUGAAAUUGCUAUGUAUCUAGAGGCUGCCAAUCCGUACACUUGAAUGGUAAAGAUAACGUGACCAAGAUUCACAUCUUUCUAAUUUCAAAAAUUUGGUGCAACUAAAAAGAACACCCCGUAUGUGCUAUCUAGUCAUGUUUGCGAUUUCUAUGUCAGCACAUUCUUAAAUAAAUAUGAACCAACUCAACUAUAUAUACAUCUGCUCAUUUAUUACCCUGUUUAAUUUAUAGCUGGCUCAACAAUGCAGCAUUUGUAUCCAAAUGCCUGCAUCGCUAGGCAUCCAAGAUUGAUGGGCAUGGGUAGACUCGCAUAUAUAGAACGAUGGAUAGCCACUCAUUGCCAGAAAUGGUCUGCUGGAGUUUACAUUACAACUCUUUGUAGUGACCAUACUUUCAUGUUGAUAAUUUGUGCCAUGCAAAUUGAGGAAUGUUAAUGUAGUGCAUAGAAAGCCAAGUGUGCAGGCAUUCAGAAGGGUUACUAAUGCACUGUGUUAGAAUAGCAAUGAACCAAAAAAAUAUCUAUUGACCUGUGUACUGCAAACAUUCGCUUGCAUGACCAGCAAUAGAGAUAUCUGCAUUGCGGCCUUUAAUGUCAACCUAAUGUUAACGUUCAAUUGCAUGUCAUUAGGAAACGCAUCAGAAGCUCAUGCGUCAGGUGCACAUCAGAAACUCGUACGUCAGAUGCACAUCAGAAACUCAUGCGUCAGGUGCACAUCAGAAACUCAUGCGUCAGGUGCACAUCAGAAACUCAUGCAUCAGGUACUCUAUAGAAAUACGGUGGCCAAUUUGUAAUAGACUCACAUUAGGAAUACAUCAGAAAGCGCAUUAGACAGUCAUUAGCCACUCAAAUGAUUCUGUUGCAUAAAGACAUCAGCCUCUCUAUAGAAAGACAUUAAAUUUUUUCAUAA